rnacentral:rRNA from 1 species
UACGUAGGGUGCGAGCGUUAAUCGGAAUUACUGGGCGUAAAGCGUGCGCAGGCGGCGCGUUAAGACAGGUGUGAAAGCCCCGAGCUUAACUUGGGAAUUGCGCUUGUGACUGGCGGGCUGGAGUGUGGCAGAGGGAGGUGGAAUUCCACGUGUAGCGGUGAAAUGCGUAGAGAUGUGGAGGAACACCGAUGGCGAAGGCAGCCUCCUGGGCCAACACUGACGCUCAUGCACGAAAGCGUGGGGAGCAAACAGG